rnacentral:rRNA from 1 species
UCCUACGGGAGGCAGCAGUGAGGAAUAUUGCGCAAUGGGGUGACCCCUGACGCAGCGACGCCGCGUGGAUGAUGAAGGCCUUCGGGUUGUAAAAUCCUGUCAGAUGGGAAGAAGUGGUAAAUGUUUAAUACGCAUUUACUUUGACGGUACCAUCAAAGGAAGCACCGGCUAACUCCGUGCCAGCAGCCGCGGUAAUACGGAGGGUGCAAGCGUUGUUCGGAAUUACUGGGCGUAAAGCGCGCGUAGGCGGCUAUCUAAGUCAGAUGUGAAAGCCCGCGGCUCAACCGUGGAAGUGCAUUUGAAACUG